GACGAACGCUGGCGGCGUGCUUAACACAUGCAAGUCGAACGAUGAAGCCUUUCGGGGUGGAUUAGUGGCGAACGGGUGAGUAACACGUGGGCAAUCUGCCCUGUACUUUGGGGAUAAGCCUUGGAAACGGGGGUCUAAUACCGGAUAUCACUUACCUCCGCAUGGGGUUUGGUUGAAAGUUCUGGCGGUACAGAGUGAGCCCGCCGGCCUACUCAGCUUGUUGGUGGGGUAGGUGGCCUACCAAGGCGACGACGGGUA
rnacentral:rRNA from 1 species